CACUUCUUGUCGGAGUGCCUUAGGGCUGAGAUCACAGAUUAUAUGUGGGAUCCGUGGAACCUGAUUGGGUUAAUACCUGCGAAGGGAACAGGUCAAAGUUGCAC
rnacentral:ncRNA from 2 species